rnacentral:rRNA from 1 species
UACGUAGGUGGCAAGCGUUUGUCCGGAAUUAUUGGGCGUAAAGCGCGCGCAGGCGGUCCUUUAAGUCUGAUGUGAAAGCCCACGGCUCAACCGUGGAGGGUCAUUGGAAACUGGGGGGACUUGAGUACAGAAGAGAAGAGUGGAAUUCCACGUGUAGCGGUGAAAUUGCGUAGAGAUGUGGAGGAACACCAGUGGCGAAGGCGACUCUUUGGUCUGUAACGUCGCUGAGGCGCGAAAGCGUGGGGGAGCAAACAGG